rnacentral:rRNA from 1 species
CAUUAUUGAAUAAACUUGGUUAGGUUGUUGCUGGCUCUUAGGAGCAUGUGCACGCUUACUCCAUUUUUAACCACCUGUGCACCUUGCGUAGAUCUGAAAUAUCUCGAGGAAACUCGGUUUGAGAAUUGCUGUGCGACAGCCAGCUCUUCUUGUAUUCAGGUCUAUGUUUCUACAUAUACCCCACAUGAAUGUAUUCGCAUGUUGUAAUCGGCCUUUGUGCCUUUAAAAACAAAUACAACUUUCAACAACGGAUCUCUUGGCUCUCGCAUCGAUGAAGAACGCAGCGAAAUGCGAUAAGUAAUGUGAAUUGCAGAAUUCAGUGAAUCAUCGAAUCUUUGAACGCACCUUGCGCUCCUUGGUAUUCCGAGGAGCAUGCCUGUUUGAGUGUCAUGAAUUUCUCAACCUUUCUAGCUUUUUCAGCUGGUUAGGCUUGGAUCUUGGAAGUUGCUGGCUUCUCACGAAUCAGCUCUUCUUAAAUAUAUUAGCAAAGACCUUUGCUGACCAUCUUUGGUAUGAUAAUUAUCUAUAUCAUUGAUAACCAGCUUCCUUUAUGGAGAGGUUUUGCUUCUAAUAGUCGUUUGACAACUUGACAAUUUGACCUCAAAUCAGGUAGGACUACCCGCUGAACUUAAG